rnacentral:rRNA from 1 species
AAGUAGGCUCCCGCAAGGGCAGGUGUCGAGGUGCUGCAUGGCUGUCGUCAGCUCGUGUCGUGAGAUGUUGGGUUAAGUCCCGCAACGAGCGCAACCCUUGUCUUCUGUUGCCAUCGGGUUAUGCCGGGCACUCUGAAGAGACUGCCGGUGACAAACCGGAGGAAGGUGGGGAUGACGUCAAGUCAGCAUGGCCUUUAUGUCUGGGGCCACACACGUGCUACAAUGGCCGGUACAAACCGUUGCGAUCUCGCGAGAGGGAGCUAAUCGGAGAAAGCCGGUCUCAGUUCGGAUUGUAGGCUGCAACUCGCCUGCAUGAAGUUGGAAUCGCUAGUAAUCGCGGAUCAGCUACGCCACGGUGAAUACGUUCCCGGGCCUUGUACACACCGCCCGUCACAUCACGAAAGUGGGUUGUACUAGAAGUCGUCGUGCCAACCGCAAGGGGGCAGAUGCCCAAGGUAUGACUCAUGAUUGGGGUGAAGUCGUAACAAGGUAACCGUAA